ACGGGGUGCAGCAGGCGCGAAUUCUUUACAAUGCAGGCAACUGCGAUAAGGGGACACCGAGUGCCCAGUGAAUUUCAUUGGCUGUCUUAAUGUUUAAAAACGCAUUCAAUAGCAAGGGGCUGGGCAAGACCGGUGCCAGCCGCCGCGGUAAUACCGGCAGCCCGAGUGGUAACCACUAUUAUUGGGUUAAAGGGUCCGUAGCCGGGCCAAUCAGUCUUCUGGGAAAUCUGGCAGCUCAACUGUCAGGCGACUAGGGGAUACUGUUGGCCUUGGGACCGGAAGAGGUAAGAGGUACUUUAGGGGUAGGAGUGAAAUCUUGUAAUCCUUAAGGGACCACCAGUGGCGAAGGCGUCUUACCAGAACGGGUCCGACGGUGAGGGACGAAAGCUAGGGGCGCAAACCGGAUUAGAUACCCGGGUAGUCCUAGCCGUAAACGAUGUUCGCUAUGUGUCAGGGACGGCGUGACCGUUCCUGGUGCCGAAGGGAAGCUGUGAAGCGAACCACCUGGAAGUACGCCGCAAGGC
rnacentral:rRNA from 1 species